rnacentral:rRNA from 1 species
UACAGAGGGGGCAAGCGUUGUUCGGAAUUACUGGGCGUAAAGGGCGCGUAGGCGGCCCGCUAAGUCGAACGUGAAAUCCCCGAGCUCAACUCGGGAACUGCGUCCGAUACUGGCGGGCUUGGAUCCGGGAGAGGGAUGCGGAAUUCCAGGUGUAGCGGUGAAAUGCGUAGAUAUCAGAAGGAACAUCAGUGGCGAAGGCGGCUUCCUGGACCAAUACUGACGAUCAGGUGCGAAAGCGUGGGGAGCAAACAGG